AUUGAACGCUGGCGGCAUGCCUUACACAUGCAAGUCGAACGGCAGCACGGGAGCAAUCCUGGUGGCGAGUGGCGAACGGGUGAGUAAUACAUAGGAACGUGCCCAAUCGUGGGGGAUAACGCAGCGAAGGCUGUGCUAAUAUCGCAUCCGAUCUACGUAUGAAAGCCGGGGACCGCAAGGCCUUGCGCGUCUGGAGCGGCCGAUGGCAGAUUAGGUAGUUGGUGGGGUAAAGGCUCACCAAGCCAACGAUCUGUAGCUGGUCUGAGAGGCCGACCAGCCACACUGGAACUGAGACACGGCCCAGACUCCUACGGGAGGCAGCAGUGGGGAAUUUUGGACAAUGGGCGCAAGCCUGAUCCAGCCAUGCCGCGUGCAGGAUGAAGGCCUUCGGGUUGUAAACUGCUUUUGUACGGAACGAAACGGCCUUUUCUAAUAAAGAGGGCUAAUGACGGUACCGUAAGAAUAAGCACCGGCUAACUACGUG
rnacentral:rRNA from 1 species